CUCCUUCUUGCUCUCAGUUGCAGGCUCCUAGCUUGGAGGAUAUGCAACCUUUACCUGCUGAGGUGGUCAGCUUCUCCAGUCCUGCUGCUGUUAAGGGAAAAAGGAAGGACAGGUUGCCUAUUGUGGAAUCUGAGGUAAGAAGAAGUGAGAGAUUGCAACACUUAAACAAGGGAUAUAGGAAGAAAACAUGUCAUGAUAGUAACUAUUUGGCUUGUACUGCUAAGCCUCUCGUCUGCAAUUCAAAAAUAAUAAAGAAUCUGAACUCUUCUUACUGCAAGGUGGACCCUAAGGCUUGCUCUGAAGAAAUCCUCUUGCAGAAGAAAGUUAAAAGAGGGGGGAAGCCAUCAGCAUGGAAGGACUGAAGCCUUGGGAAGCACUGUG
rnacentral:lncRNA from 1 species